CCCAUCACUCUCCCUCUCUCUCUCAAUUUAUUCCUCCAUUACCACCAUUAAAGUGAGCUUCAAGCUCCACAAAAUCAUUUCAAGAGAGAAAUCCUUCUCUAUCCUUAAGCUAAACACCUUCUAGCUUCAUGAAUUCAAGAAACCCUUGAGUAUUAGUCUUGAGUUAGAGAGAGAAAGCUUAGUUCUUUGUUUGAUCUUGGGUAAGUGGCUUUGAUAUUCUUGAAAUUAGUGGUCUAUGAUGUUGUAUAUGAGUUUAUUUGGAUGAUUGAAGCAAAAAAAACACCCCCUCACCCCUUUUAUAAAUUUUCGAAAAUUUAGGGUUAAACCCUUCAAAAAAAAAUUUCUUUUCUUUCCUUUAAUUGGGGUGAGAAAUGUGUUUUAUGUGAUGUUUGGUGAUGAUUGAUAUGUGUAUUGUGAGGCUAUGUCUUGUGAUGCAAAGUUUGACUUAGGUUAGUAGCCUAAAAAUUUGGAAAUUUUUGAGUUGAGGUCUUAAAUGAUAAAUUGAUGAUGAGCAUGAGGUUAUGAUGUGUAUUUGAUGAUGAUUGAUGGUCUAUAUUGAGGAUAUGAUGUAAUUUGAGGAUGUUGAUGUGAGUUAGUGUGAUGAAAAUUAGGGUUAUGUAUUUCUAUGCCCAAAUUUGUAAAUUGACGGUUCACAUAAGUAAUUAAGUGACCUAAUUUGAUCAAUCUAUGGAUGGAUUGAUGAUUGACACGCAUGUGUAAAAAGUCAAAGAGUUUAGUCUAAUGAAAAAUUAGGAUCUUGAUGUAUAUGUGUUAACUAUGUGAAUUGACUAAGGAUAGAUGGAAUUGAGCAUGAUAUUAUAGUUUAAUGAUGUUUGGUUUGGUCAAGCAUUGACUAUAUAAAAUUUUGAUUGAAUUUAGUUUGCAUAAUAAGGGAGAGUCUAUGCAAAUGUAUUGAGUUAUGUGAUGCAUGAGGCCAUUUGUAAGUAAUUGAGUAUCUUUAGGCAUGUUUGCUUGUGUGUUGAGGUCGAAGUCGUUUUUGAGGAACCGUCUAAUGUCGCUGACCUACUGAGUUCGAAAGGUUGUGGAUACCCAAAGACCUUGAACAUUUUAUAGUAAGAUUAUAUGAGAUUCUUGCGUAUACUGGUAACAUUUCAAGUCAAUUGGACUUCGUUUACUAUUUUUAUAAAAUGGAAAACUAAAACUGCUACUUUCUGCCGAAAUGUUCGGUGAGUAGCCAAUAGAGUCACCUUUUCCAGUAUCUUUCCCUAACUUUUUGGAGCCCAACUUUUUAUCAUUAAUACAUGAGUGUUUUUUCUAAGUACUUAACAAAUUUCAAGCCUUUUCGGCAACGUUUACUAUUUUUCAAAAAUCAAAGGUUUCAGUUGCUCAAAACUGCCGAAUAUGGUAGACUGUAGGAAAACAGUCAUAUCUCCUAAACUACUUAGAGUUUUUCAUCCUACUUUUUUUUGAAUGAAACUAGACUAAAAGAGGUUUCAAAUGGUAUAGUUCACUACUCCAGUGGAGUUCUGUACCGAGUUUGGUGAAGUCUUUAAAUCGAGUCAGUGCAGAAUGAUGUUUGUUUGUGACAUGUCUAUGUGGGAAUUUAUAUGCUUAUGUGAUUAUGCUUGUUUAUGUGCUUGAUUGCUAUGAGUUUAAUCCGAGUUGAGUGUUAAGUCAAGAGUAGGACUUGUGAAUCCUUAGGAGUUAAGUAUACCUAGGGAUUGAGAUUUAUUUGGGUAAAUAGAAGAUGAGUGAUAAGUUAUAGUUUGAGACGAGAUUGGAUGUUAGUAAAUGAGUUUCUAACUGAGGUUUAUUUUAUCACAUGAACCUUCGAUGACGAUGAUGAUGAUAUAUGAAGGCCCGAGCGAGACGAAGAAGUGAGUCGCCUGUUUUCUUUUCAAGCUUGAGCGAAGGACUUCAGGUGGGCAAUAUUUUGAGUAUUCUUAUAUCAUAUAAGCUUUCUAAUAUGAUUUGAUGAUGUUAUGAGUUUAUCAAAUGUUUUGAGAUAAAUGAUGUUUGAGAACUGUUUGACUUGCCAAUUUUUGAUGUUGAGCCUGUAUGUUACCCUCUACUGAUGAGAUGAGACGAAUUCGGUCCUGCCACAAGCGGGAUUUUGUGCACAGAGGUGACUGCGAGCCGUCUUCGGGUCGGCCGGUCACGGUACUUGAGAGAGAGGCCUACUUCUCAGUACCUUUGAUGAUGAUGAGUUGUAGAUGUGGUGCAUACAUCUUGAGAUCUUUGACUGCAGUCGUUUUUUUAUGAUGUCAUGAUUAUUAAAACUGCUUACACAGGUUCAUUUACGCUAAAUUUAUUCCUGUGUAUUGCUGAGAUGUGGCAAGUUUCAAAUUUAUAGCUCUAAGAGCAGCUUUUCUUGUUUUUCGGCGUUUGCCCACUGAGUAUUAUAUACUCACGCCCUGCAUGUAUUUCUAAAUGUGCAGGCUAAGCGAUGGAGCGAGAUUGGACUGGUGCUGGCGGGGGAUUAUUUUGUUGAUGAAUUUUCUUUGUUGCUUUCCUUUUCUUGAUAGAGUCCUAACGAUGAUACACUUUGCUUUCCUUUUGAAUGUUGAUAAAACCUUAAUGAUGAGAUACAUUGUUUUCUUUUUAAUCAAGCAAUUUACUCGCGAUUAUAUGUCUUCAUACAUAUUCUCCUCGGUUCCUUCUUUUUUUGGACUUAGGGUCGUGGGAUUGUUUAUGGCGACGGAGUUUAGCCGGCCAUACUCCUCACGGUUCGAUGGUAGAGCAUUGGGCGACGGCGUAUCACCGGCCUUUUGCUCUUUCUGUGUGUUUCUUUCGGUGGUCAGUUGGCGACGGCGUCUCACCGGCCUUCUGGCUACGUCUUGUGUUUUGCUUUUGUUUCUUUUUCCUGAGCCGGGAUGGUUUAGGGACGAUGGUAAGGCCGGAGUUCCUGAAACUUUCUCUUUCGCUCUUCUUUUUUUUCUUACUCUUUUUCCCUCUUACGGUUUUUCCCAUAGGGUUUUCUGUAGGAGGGUUUUAAUGAGGCCCGGCCCUUAGUUUGCGUCUCUGUGCUCUCAAGGGUUUAGCUUUCUCAUUCUCGUUUUUCCCUUUUUUUUAGUUCCUUUAUAAAAUUGCAUUUUAAUAAUAUAUCUUCAUACAUAUGAUCGAUUCACC
rnacentral:lncRNA from 1 species